rnacentral:rRNA from 1 species
UACAGAGGUCUCAAGCGUUGUUCGGAUUCAUUGGGCGUAAAGGGUGCGUAGGUGGCGCCGUAAGUCAGGUGUGAAAUUUCGGAGCUUAACUCCGAAACUGCAUUUGAUACUGCGGUGCUUGAGGACUGGAGAGGAGACUGGAAUUUACGGUGUAGCAGUGAAAUGCGUAGAGAUCGUAAGGAAGACCAGUGGCGAAGGCGGGUCUCUGGACAGUUCCUGACACUGAGGCACGAAGGCCAGGGGAGCAAACGGGG